rnacentral:lncRNA from 1 species
UGCUCAUGCUUAUGGAUAUUAUAUAUUGACUUGGUAUUGAAUAAUCUUGCAUAGCUUUAAUGGUUAUACGACUUUUUUAUAAUGAACUCGCCUAUUGAAAUGGUUGUGAUGAUAGAUAUAAUGUUAGUUAAUUAUUUUUGUUAAUUUUUAAAUGUGACAUUAAGGUAUGUUAUAUCGUUUUUCUACCUAUGAACUUACUAAGAUUAGUUGAAGCUUAUUCUAUUUCACUUUCCUAUUUUCCUAUAGUUAUCGUAUUACGGAAUCGGGC